CAAAAUUACAUCAGAAAAAUCAGCCUGCUAUAUUUGGUCAAACAUUUAAUUAAUUCACCCCCAAUGCCUUGACAGGGCCAGGCUGAAUGAUUUUG